AGUGAACGCUGGCGGCAGGCCUAACACAUGCAAGUCGAGCGCCCCGCAAGGGGAGCGGCGGACGGGUGAGUAACGCGUGGGAACGUACCCUUUGCUACGGAAUAGCCUCGGGAAACUGGGAGUAAUACCGUAUGUGCCCUUCGGGGGAAAGAUUUAUCGGCAAAGGAUCGGCCCGCGUUGGAUUAGGUAGUUGGUGGGGUAAUGGCCUACCAAGCCGACGAUCCAUAGCUGGUUUGAGAGGAUGAUCAGCCACACUGGGACUGAGACACGGCCCAGACUCCUACGGGAGGCAGCAGUGGGGAAUCUUAGACAAUGGGCGCAAGCCUGAUCUAGCCAUGCCGCGUGAACGAUGAAGGCCUUAGGGUUGUAAAGCUCUUUCAGUGGGGAAGAUAAUGACUGUACCCACAGAAGAAGCCCCGGCUAACUCCGUGCCAGCAGCCGCGGUAAAGUACAGUGU
rnacentral:rRNA from 1 species